AACGUAGGGGACAAGCGUUAUCCGGAUUUACUGGGCGUAAAGCGCCCGUAGGCGGCUUUGUAAGUUGGACGUGAAAGCUCCCGGCUUAACUGGGAGAGGCCGUUCAAAAACUGUAGAGCUAGAGUGAGGCAGAGGAGUGCGGAAUUCCCGGUGUAGUGGUGGAAUGCGUAGAUAUCGGGAGGAACACCAGUGGCGAAGGCGGCUAGCUGGCCUGUAACUGACGCUGAGGCGCGAAGGCUAGGGGAGCGAACAGG
rnacentral:rRNA from 1 species